AGGAUGAACGCUGGCGGCGUGCUUAACACAUGCAAGUCGAGCGGAAAGGCCCUUCGGGGUACUCGAGCGGCGAACGGGUGAGUAACACGUGACUUAUCUACCUUUGAGUGGGGAAUAACCUGGGGAAACCCGGGCUAAUACCGCAUAAUACCUACGGGUCAAAGCAGCAAUGCGCUUAAAGAGGAGGUCGCGGUCGAUUAGUUAGUUGGCGGGGUAAUGGCCCACCAAGACGAUGAUCGAUAUCC
rnacentral:rRNA from 1 species